rnacentral:misc_RNA from 1 species
GUAAUGAACAAAUCUGACUUCAGAACUUGGCUACUGAUCCAUGACUUCAGCAAUGGUAACAAAUCGACCUCUCUCUAUAGAAAGUUGUGCAGCAACUCCCAUGGCCACUGAAAUCAGUCCAUCUUGCAAGUCCACCGCAGGGACUUGUCCAUCUCUAGCUCUCACUGCAUACAAAAAGUUUAGGUGUUCCAAAUAGCUAGAUCCAUGAUGCAGACCCUCGUACUUGAUUCUAUCAUCCUCUGCUUUUAAUGUUUCGACUCCAUUUCUUCCAGAAACUCGAGUGCCAAAACGAAUGAUGUUUUCAGGAACAAAAGCCUCGCCCUUUCCAAUAUCACCAACAACCGAUAUCUCCUGCUCGUUUUUACUUCCCUCAGCAAAC